rnacentral:lncRNA from 1 species
GGCCGUGCCCCCCCAGAUCGCCAGCCUGCGCUUCGUGUUCCUCAUCAACCACGAACUGAUCGCGCUGAUCCGCAGCGAGGCCGCGCGGCUCGGCCAGGGACAGGGACAGGGACAGCACCAGUAACACCAGUGACACACCAGUGACACCAGUAACGGACCAGUGACACCAGUAACACCAGUAACACCAGUAACACCAGUAACAGAGCCAUGGACAGAGCCAGGGACAGCAGGGACAGCACCAGUGACACCAGUAACGGCACCAGUAACACCAGUAACACCAGGGACAGGGACAGGGACAGCAGGGACAGGGACAGCACCAGUGACACCAGUAACGGCACCAGUGACACCAGUAACGGCACCAGUAACACCAGUGACACACCAGUGACACCAGUAACACCAGUAACAGAGCCAUGGACAGAGCCAGGGACAGCACCAGUGACACCAGUAACGGACCAGUGACACCAGUGACACCCCUGUGACACCAGUCUGGGACUGGGACUCUCCCAGUUUGAACCUUGGACCCUCCCAGUUUGGGACUGGAACCCUCCCAGUGCUCCCAGUUUGAACCUGGCACCCUCCCAGUUUGAGACUGGGACCCUCCCAGUGACACCCCAGUGACACCAGUCUGGGACUGGGACCCUCCCAGUGCUCCCAGUCUGGGAUUGGGACCCUCCAGUGCUCCCAGUUUGGGACUGGGACGCUCCCAGUUUGGGACUGAGACCUUCCCAGUGCUCCCAGUUUGGGACUGGGACCCUCCCAGUGCUCCCAGUUUGAGCCUUGGACCCUCCCAGUUUGGGACUGGGACCCUCCCAGUGCUCCCAGUUUGAACCUCAGACCCUCCCAGUUUGGGACUGGGGCUCUCCCAGUGACACCAGUUCGAGACUGGGACC